rnacentral:rRNA from 35 species
CAUAUCAAUAAGCGGAGGA